GAUGAACGCUGGCGGCGUGCCUAAUACAUGCAAGUAGAACGCUGAAGCUUGGUGCUUGCACCGAGCGGAUGAGUUGCGAACGGGUGAGUAACGCGUAGGUAACCUGCCUGGUAGCGGGGGAUAACUAUUGGAAACGAUAGCUAAUACCGCAUAAUAGCAGUUGUUGCAUGACAACUGUUUGAAAGGUGCAAUUGCAUCACUACCAGAUGGACCUGCGUUGUAUUAGCUAGUUGGUGGGGUAACGGCUCACCAAGGCGACGAUACAUAGCCGACCUGAGAGGGUGAUCGGCCACACUGGGACUGAGACACGGCCCAGACUCCUACGGGAGGCAGCAGUAGGGAAUCUUCGGCAAUGGACGGAAGUCUGACCGAGCAACGCCGCGUGAGUGAAGAAGGUUUUCGGAUCGUAAAGCUCUGUUGUAAGAGAAGAACGAGUGUGAGAGUGGAAAGUUCACACUGUGACG
rnacentral:rRNA from 1 species